UACAGAGGGGGCAAGCGUUGUUCGGAAUUACUGGGCGUAAAGGGCGCGUAGGCGGCCUGUUAAGUCGAACGUGAAAUCCCCGGGCUCAACCCGGGAACUGCGUCCGAUACUGGAUGGCUUGAGUUUGGGAGAGGGACGCGGAAUUCCAGGUGUAGCGGUGAAAUGCGUAGAUAUCUGGAGGAACACCGGUGGCGAAGGCGGCGUCCUGGACCAAUACUGACACUGAUGAGCGAAAGCCAGGGGAGCAAACGGG
rnacentral:rRNA from 1 species